rnacentral:rRNA from 1 species
UACGUAGGGUGCAAGCGUUAAUCGGAAUUACUGGGCGUAAAGCGUGCGCAGGCGGCUUUGCAAGACAGAUGUGAAAUCCCCGGGCUUAACCUGGGAACUGCAUUUGUGACUGCAUGGCUGGAGUGCGGCAGAGGGGGAUGGAAUUCCGCGUGUAGCAGUGAAAUGCGUAGAUAUGCGGAGGAACACCGAUGGCGAAGGCAAUCCCCUGGGCCUGCACUGACGCUCAUGCACGAAAGCAUGGGGAGCAAAAGGG